AUGGCCCUUGCAUCGCUGGACCUCGACUUCGACGAUGGCCUCAAGCACGAGGGGGCCGUCGACAGCAUCCUCCUCCGAUGCCCCUGCCGCGUCCGGCUCUUCCGCGCCUUCAUGGACGAGUCCUGCUCCUGCCGCAUCCACGACUGGUUCCUCGUCCUCUCCCGCCAGGCCGUUGAGAUCCUCGACAUCUCCGGCUUCCUGACCCUCCCCUCCUCCGUCUUCACCUGCGGCCGGCUCACCUCCCUCCAUCUCUCGUACUGCGCCGUCCCGAUGCUACCCCGGGGAUUCAAAGGUUUGCCGGAGCUGAGGAACCUUAGUCUGCGUAGGGUCGACUUGCAGGAACACGGUCAGUACCAACUGGAGGAGAUCAUUGCGACAUCGCCGUUGCUCGAGGAGCUGACACUUCAGGAUGUGAAUAUCCCUGGUGAAUUCAAACAGCGGGUGAUUCAGGGGCCUAAUUUGGGUUCCCUCCAUCUUCAUUCGCUUGAUGAUCAUGGUUGGGAUCUUGGGGAUCUUCCGCGACUGGAUUCUGCCGUCAUUGAUAUAUGCGACUAUUUAGGGAAUCGCGAUUUCUCCAAAUUUCUCUCCGGCCUUGCGAGCCUUACCGAGCUUCAGAUAUCUACUUAUCAUCAACCGUUAAAUGGGGCCAAUAUUCGAGAGACACUUCCAUGCACCUUUAUCAACUUAAAAGCUUGA
rnacentral:rRNA from 1 species